AGAGUUGAUCCUGGCUUAGGACGAACGCUGGCGGCGUGCCUAACACAUGCAAGUCGAGCGAGGAGAUCCUUCGGGAUGAUCCUAGCGGCGGACGGGUGAGUAACACGUGGGCAACCUGCCUCAUAGAGAGGAAUAGCCUUCCGAAAGGGAGAUUAAUACCUCAUAACAUUGCAGUUUCGCAUGAAACAGCAAUUAAAGGAGCAAUCCGCUAUGAGAUGGGCCCGCGGCGCAUUAGCUAGUUGGUGAGGUAACGGCUCACCAAGGCGACGAUGCGUAGCCGACCUGAGAGGGUGAUCGGCCACAUUGGGACUGAGACACGGCCCAGACUCCUACGGGAGGCAGCAGUGGGGAAUAUUGCACAAUGGGGGAAACCCUGAUGCAAGCAACGCCGCGUGAGUGAUGACGGCCUUCGGGUUGUAAAGCUCUGUCUUCAGGGACGAUAAUGACGGUACCUGAGGAGGAAGCCACGGCUAACUACGUGCCAGCAGCCGC
rnacentral:rRNA from 1 species